UGUUUAUUCUUUUAUUUAUAAGAUUGUGGAAGAGUCACCGAUGAAUACAUUAAAAAAGAAUUAAAGACUAACAUACUUUUUUUGUUGUUGUUGACGGGGAAGAUUAAGAGGAGGAAAAGGAGGAGGAGGGAGUGCGAGGGAGGGCCCGUGGUAAAGACCCUUCCCACGACACAUAAUGUAACAAUAUGGUGGACUCAAUGUGACGACUGUGGGCGCGGGGAUCAGUCCGUGGUGGUGGAAAUACAUCGUGAGUUAGUUCAAAUCGAUCACCAAAACGAAAUAACUUACAAAAAUGCGGUUCAAUGGAGAGUAAAAAGUAGACUGAUGUUCUUUAUCAUAUUUCCGCUUAAAAGUAUAUACGAAAUCUGUCUGUAUGUUCUUUAUAAUAUGUAAAAAAAGGGAUGACCACGACGAUAUGUAUAUAUGAGAAAUGCAUCAAUGUUAUUUGUAGGUGAUGAAAAAACUUCUAAACAGUGACUUGGAGGAUUAGGUGAAGGUGGACGAGGGAGGAGGAAAAGGAGGUGGGAAGGGGAGGAAAAGGAAGGAAAGGAAGAGGAAAAUACGAGGACAAGGAAGGGAGGAAAAAUAUACGAAACAGUGACAGAGGAUUAGGUGAAGGUGGACGAGGGAGGAGGAAAAGGAGGUGGGAAGGGGAGGAAGAGGAGAGGAAAAGGAAGGAAAGGAGGAGGAAAAUACGAGGACAAGGAAGGGAGGAAAAAUAUACGAAACAGUGACAGAGGAUUAGGUGAAGGUUACGAGGGAGGAGGAAAAGGAAGCGGGAAGGGAAAGAAAGGAGGAGGAAAAGGAGGGAGAAGAAGAGGAAAAUGAAAGUAAAAUAAAUAAGGGCAAAGAAAAGAGGAAAAAAAGGAAGAAAAAAGUGAUUGUGGGAGAGAAAAGUGGUAAGGAGGAUAAAAAAGAAAAAAACAGAAAGAAAAAGAAGGAAAAGAAAAGUGUAUGUGUGGGAAGGAAAGGCCGUGAAGGAAAAAUAAAGUAGAGGGAGGUGAGGAAAGUAUUGAAUGGGGCUUCCUGGAGGGGCCGAGGGAGGGAGGGAAAGACAGUGUGUGUGUGGGAAGGAAAGGCCGUGAAGGAAAAAUAAAGGAGAGGGAGGUGAGGAAAGCAUUGAGUGGGGGCUUCAUGGAGGGGCCGAGGGAGGGAGGGAAAGACAGUGUGUGUGUGGGAAGGAAAGGUCGUGAAGGAAAAAUAAAGGAGAGGGAGGUGAGGAAAGCAUUGAGUGGGGGCUUCAUGGAGGGGCCGAGGGAGGGAGGGAAAGACAGGUGCGAGAGUUAAUCAGAGCGACGCACCUGAUGGAAGGGGGACAGGUAGUUCAUUAAAUAGACAGGAAAUUAUUGUCUGUCCGUGGUCAAAGACGGAGUACUUAAACUAAUUAAACAAUGGCAAAGUACACAGUGUUACCAACCCAACGAGAGAGCUAAUCAAGGAGAGUAACAAUAUAGCCAACUCAGAAUAACUACUAGAUUUUAUACGGAAGAUUACUUAUAAGUAUUUCCUAACACGCCUGGAUAGCUAAUCAAAUGGAGUAGUGAGGGUUUAACCAACGCUAUAAGUCAACGCCGUAGGGAAACAGUCUAUCAGUACCUUUAAUCCCUUGUUCAUUGGGUUUUAUGAGGCCGAGGUUGGUAUUCUCAGACGCUUCCACACCUCACAUCAACGGUUUCCAAAGGCCGAAAAGGAGAUCAAUCGGGUUCUAAUGAGUGUUUUUGUAGGUCCAUGGCACUGACGAAGGGUCAAACUACCACCCGGGUCAUUAAACUACCCCUGGAAAUGCUCAAAACUCCUACGAAAGCCUUGUCAAGUGUGUUUCUUUAAGUUCAUAGCACAGAGGAAUGGUCAAACUAACACCCGGGUCAUUAAACUACCCCUGGAAAUGCUCAAAACUCUUGAAAAGGCUUUGUCGAUUAUGUGAACUUGGGCGCCGAAAUGUUUGAGAAGUUGCUGGGUUUUUUCAUGGACUGUUUUGUGCUCCCAGUGAUAGCUUUACACGACUUCUGCACCUUGAACGGGAAAACGUCACCCAUAAAAACUCGAUUAAUCUUCUCUGUUACCUUGGGAAAUAGUGGUAGUGGGGAACUGUUUGUGAUGCUAGUGAUAGUUUUACACGACUUCUGCACCUUGAACGGGAAAACAUCACCCAUGAAAACACGGUCAAUCUUAUCUGUGGCCUUGGGAAAUAGUGGUAGUGGGAGC